CGUCAUUAAACCUGAAGAAACGGCUCUCGUGCUCGUGGUGCAGCUUAGACGCGUCGUCGCUGCUGCUGCUGCUGUCCUCUCUUCUUCUCUCUCUGGUUUUCAGUACCCACGCACACCCCAGAGCACCGAGCGACAUACGGCACUCCCAACUCUCGUUAUCUGCGUCGUUGUCAACUCUAUUAGAGACACACCGUCCUCUCCUCUACGCCUCUGCCACCACGCAACGGUGACAGCGCCGCCUUCAAGCCUUGCUGGAGACUCCCAGGUUGUCGUCGGCCCCGACUUCUCGGUUGUUGUCUUCUUCUCUCUCUGUCCUCCUCCUCCCUUACGGAGUUGUCUUUCUCUGACACCAAACCCCCUUCACUGCGUGUCAUCUCUCGACGUCACGAUGGGGUGCGAUGCCAGCUGUUUGAGGUGCAAGAAGGGCACGGAGGAAGGGAAGAGGGACUCCAAUGUGGUGGGCAGCGACAGCAAGGUUAGCAGAGGUGCCUCUGCCGCGGCAUUCCAGAGGUCCUACUCGGAAGAGUCUUUAGAAAUCCCAGUUCCGGAUUGUGAUGAGAGCCUACGGCAGCGCAGUGCUGCGGAUGACGCGAGGGACUCGGCGGCUAAGGGAGCACGCAGUGCCAGCACAAACAUCUAUGUCGCGGAGGAUCCGAAUCUGACGUGCCCGGCGGAGCUGCGCACGAUUAUGGAUAACAUGGAUUUGUCCUCUAUCAGCACGUCGUCGAGCGCCCCGCAGUUGUUUCACAUGUCGCCUACGGAGCGCGCUGAGGUGGAGACGGGUACAUGGGCGUGGUGGCGUCAGGAGCUACGAAACAAGCGUGUCACAAAGGACGGCUACCAUCGAGUGCAGCUGCAGGACGUCCAUACUCGGCUUACCACUCAGCACGAGGACAACCCGAGCACGGUAGAGCUAGACUUCAGCAGCUGCUACAUGGAGCCUACAGCGCCGUACGUGCUGGGUCGCCUGUUUGCUUCUCUUCAACUCAAGGAGCUGCGGUGGAUUACCUCGCUGCGGCUGGAUGGCAACUAUUUCACCGACGACGGCUUCGGCACGAUGCUCGCCACGAUGUCGGCCGCGAACGAAGAUCAGACGAUCUUGCCACUUUUGCGGCAACUCUACCUCAACAACAUGAACCUUGAUCAACACUCCGUGGCUGGGCUGUUUGCGUACCUGUUUCCAGUGGACCACAAGGCCAUGAGCAGCAUCUCACAAAAGAAGGCGUUCCACAUCGCCGGCAGCCCUGCCUCGCGGCCGUCGGAGGCUUACAUUGCAGCCAGCAGGCGUGGCCCUAAGGUGCCGCUGUUUCCUUCCUUGAACGUGCUCAGCCUCAGCGACAACCCGGGGGUGGGAGCGGAGGGCCUCAUUCAGAUUCUCCGUAGCCUUCUGGCUGUUCACUACGAGCCGCAUACCGUCUCCGUCAUGGAUCUCUCCCGGUGUGGCUUGGACAGGGCCACUCCCAAGUACUUUCGCGAGUACUUUGAAAAGCUUUCGAGAGCAAUGAAAAACGGCUGCUACCCGGUGGUGCCGCGGCGAUUUGUGCUGAUAGGCAACCAGCACGGCAUCGCGCACUUGAAUGAGAUCUACUCGCCACACAAAACAGGCGUGCAGCUCGUGCUUUGAGCGUGGAAACGCCGCACUCUCGUCAUCCCUGUCGCGGCCGUCACCGUCUCCGUUCUUACGGUCGAUGAUGAAGUGGUACCACCCGAUGCCAGGGUGUUUUCAACAAGUAGAGACCCUCUCCUCGUCCUUCCUGUGUGGGCGCGUGUAGUGACGCAGCAGCGGGGUGUCCUUGGGGCGAUCAUGUAUCAUUGGCGGCGUUUGGCGCCGUUUUCCAUUCCUUGUUUUCCUGUAGGAUGUGCCAAGGGGUGAUUGCAGAGUGUGUGCGUGUGUGUGCAGGGCAGGGCAGGAGCCAUAGAGGCGCGGCGCGGAGAGCAGUGGAGGAGAAGGGAAAGCGAGAAAGAGGAGCGGCUCCUUCAUAGCCCCACUCUCGAUCGGCAUCACACUUCUCUCUCAUCUGUUUGGAGCCGUUUCGCGUUCCCUUCCCCCUUGCCUCACUGAAACGCUCUUGCUGCCCCUCUUCUCGCUCGUUACUCCAUCUCUCAUCAGCUCCUCAACGUUUCCAUUGCUUCGACAGCGAACCAAAGGAAACCGCCACACAUAGACGUACGCACGCACGCACAAGUGUCUUUGGUUUUCCAGAGAAGGAUGGUUUGCGGGCGAGGGGGGAAAUAAGUCUGUGCACUCUGGGUUUCUCUGGGUCUACCUGCAGAUUUUGUACCGCGCGCUUCACUCUCGCUCCGCCCCUUUUUUUUUUCCGCUCGCACACUUCCCACCAAUCACUGUCGUGCAGCUCCUCCUCUUUCCUCGCCCCUCUCCACCACCUCCUCUUCUCUCCUUUCCCAGCGAUUCCUCCUCCUGGUCUGUUUGCCUCUGUGUUGUUGGCGGUGCUGUUGCGUGCACUUCAUGGAUGUGCAUGUGCAUUUGCAGUCCUGCGUGCGUGCGUGUGCCAUCGAUGGGUGCCGCCUUUUUGGUCACCUGUUACUUUCUCUCCUCUCCCCCCCCAAAUAUCCGUGUGAGGUGCGGCGAAGGUGAACCAUGUUUCAUGCUCAUGUACGUGUGUGCUUGCGCGCCUCCUCCUUUUCUCUGUAAUCCCUCUUCCCUUGUACCUGUAUCUGUGUGGCUUUUCGCUAGUGUGCGGCCUCUGUUGCUGACGCCGGCGGUCCCGACGUUCAAUCCCCUCGCUAAGUGCCGAUGUAUCGACGGUGCAUCAACAGACGUCUUCAUUUAGCGGCUCUUCGUCUUUCUGUCCACCACCGCCACCGCCCCUCUUUCUCAAUGAUCUGCGUUCUUGUUUGCUUGCGUUGUAGGGCAGGGGAAGGCGAAAGGGGAUGCCAGCGGGGGUGCGGGCGGGCGACGCGACGGUGGAUCUGUCCAUCUUUACGUGCACACAUGUCUGUGGUGGAACGUAUCAGAUGGUCUGCGCUUCUCCGCCUUCUCUUCCGCCCCGCCAUGGCUGAUGCUUCGAGCGGCUUCCCUCUUUCCUAUCCGCUUCACACCUCCACACGCAAACGCACACACACAGAGCCUCUUCCCGCUUCAGGUGUAUGUCCAUUGUAUCUGUUCAUCUGCUCCACCACCCACUCUCUCCCACCCGAGAAG
rnacentral:misc_RNA from 1 species